GAACGUUGUAAUUGCGAAAUAAUGGAGGACGAGGCCCAUUAUUUUCUGAGGUCUAAAUCAUCAAAAUGUGACUUAAAAUCUGCCUAGAAAGUGAGAGGUGGUGGGGGACACCUCAAGUGGAAUAGACAAGAGACUAGACAUACGAGCAAGACAGAAUGUCACUUGCCAAGUUACUAGUCGAAGGCUUAAAAGCAUUAAAAAAGAAGAAAAGUAGAAGUCAUAUACGCACAGGAAUGCAGCCACUGAAUAUGAUGACUCAACACUGAACUGAGACUUUUUCCAAGCGAAAAAUAUAAGCGAAGUGGUUGCUAGUAUUAAUCUUAAAACUGUUGGUGGUUGCUGUUGGAAGAAAUACGAGUGCUGUGUCUUUCACAAUAUCACACUGACACCAGGUCUCUCUCUAACCCCGCGGUUUUGGCUUAUUGCGGGGUCAGAAACCAGACCGCAGGAGGCAUGGGUCCAUAAAGGAGCUGUCGUUUGGAAGAGGGCGCGCGAAAACAGCGCGGGAGCUGUUUCCCGAUGCGGUGCAGUGCAGUAGACAUCAAAUUAGCAAUGACCCUGCCUGCCCACUGCCCUACUCCCCACUUUCACUACCCAUCGCGCUCUCUCUCUCUCUCUCUAAAAUUUUCUGAUGUUUCCGGGUCCCACAUCGACCCCACCAUCAUAUCAAACGUUAACUCCGAUCUGAUGUUCACGGCCAUCGAAUGCUCAUCUGUUUGUAUGUGGGGGGAAGUAGAUGGGGACGGAGCUGAGUUGGGUAAAUGAGCUCCAGAGGUCCGGCAAUUGGCUACUGUGCACCCAUGUGGGGAGUGGGUCCAGGGUGUGGAGAGAAUUACAGGUUUUUAGAGACAGGAAUGGGACUGUUUUUGGUCCUAUCAUCAUGCAAUGUAAUUGAGAGAGAGAGAGAGAGAGAGAACUGAGAUAAGCAGAGAGAAGUAGAUGGUGGGUGUCUAUCAUAAUGAUGUGAUUGCUGUGGGGGAAGCAUUGGAUAUUAAAUUAGACUUGCAAAUCAUUUGUGGGGAAGCUUUUUUUUUUUUUUUUUCUCUCUUAAAUAUGACAGUGAAAUUAUUAACAAAAUUCAAACAUAUAUAAUAUUAUGAUCGUAUGAGUGUGAAAAAGUCCUUGCUGCCGUUGAUUCUUGAUGUUGAUCUUACCAUAUAUGUAUCCUUGACGUAAUCCAUCCUAAUGACCUAUCUAGGCUUCUUUUCUUUUUAUUUUUCAUUUUUUUUUCUUUUUUCUCCUAUUUUUUAAGCAACCCAUGAUUUCGUUUGAUUUUUAUGAUAAAAUCAUAAACAAAUGAAGACAGGUUUGUAGAGAAGCAAAUCCUUUGUAGGUGAAGAAUCUCCAUCCAGCAGCUUGCUUUUUCUGAUCUGAUAUUACAUGCUCCUUUAUUCUUCCAGUACCCACCCAAAUAGUAUGGCUUCAUGUCCAAUCCACCAUUUUCUUUUUUUCUUCUUCUAUUCUGUGGUCUUGACAUUACAAAUUACAGCCCCCAGGCCACUCGUUCUCCCCUAAAAAAUCAUGCUUCCGUGCCUUCUGGGACAGCAUUUCGGUUACGAAUCUUAAGUUGAUUGAAAGCACUAUAAUUUAUAUUCAAAUACCGCGAGUGUGGAUCUUUCUUUUUCCGGCUCUAGGAAGGAUUCAUAAGAUUUAAUUAUGUUGUGAUGAUGCAUUUCCAGAUGCAAUAUAGGCGUGGGAAUUGGAAAUCGAUGACUUCUAAUCCAACCUUGAAAGGCCGAGGCUUUAAUUGAUUGCAUUGGGCUGUACGUGGUAUCAAAAUCACUGAUGUCUCUCCAAUAAGGCCCUAAUGCCAAUGCAACUUUCGGCCUAUUGGGCUCUUUAGUAUUCGGUUGAGAGGUGAGGAGUCAGAAAGAGUCCUUUCUUUCUUAUAAUGUCUCUCCAGCACGGUCCUUUUGCUUUGUAAAUGCAACUUUCGGCCUAUUGGGCUCUGUAGUCUUCGGUUGAGAGGUUAGGAGUCAGAUAAAGUCAUUUCUUAUAACUGUACUCCUUAAAAUAGGUCAAAUAUAUUAAAAUUUACUUAAAGAAAAUCAUGGCAUGGCUACUGGGAAUAUAUGUGACUGGACAGUUUUAUCCAAACCAAAUGACGCAAGCUAAUAUUGCGCUCCUGAAUUUGGUUUUGAAGCCUUAUUGAGCAGUCCGCAUUAUCUACUACUCCUCACAUGACUCAGCAGCAUUCCACCACCUCAGCUGCCCCUUCAGGAUGCUCUACCACCUCAGCUGGUUCAAGAAGCUUCACCAUGGAAUUGUAAUGCACACCAACUGCUUGAGAAUAUUCUCAAGUUUGUUUGGAUCUCUUGUAUAGUGAAAGUAGGCAGAUGCCGGAGCGUGCAGAUUGAAGUGACAUGGCAUCUGCCUUUCGAGAUUGAUACAUUGUUUGGGACACUGAUCAGGUUGGGGGCUCCUGCGGUAUGGUACUAAGGUAUUUUUGUAAUUUUUUCUUAAAUACGUUUGUACAUCGAGGAUUAGUACAAAUACAUAUUAUGUAACCUUACUUUACAGAUAGUGAAUUUUCGCACCACUCGAUCUUAUAGAUGUAGGCAUAUUGUCGAAUAACAUUAAAUCUCUCUUGAUUUCUCUUGA